rnacentral:rRNA from 1 species
AGUGAACGCUGGCGGUAGGCCUAACACAUGCAAGUCGAACGGCAGCACAGGAGAGCUUGCUCUCUGGGUGGCGAGUGGCGGACGGGUGAGGAAUACAUCGGAAUCUACUUUUUCGUGGGGGAUAACGUAGGGAAACUUACGCUAAUACCGCAUACGACCUACGGGUGAAAGCAGGGGACCUUCUGGCCUUGCGCGAUUGAAUGAGCCGAUGUCGGAUUAGCUAGUUGGCGGGGUAAAGGCCCACCAAGGCGACGAUCCGUAGCUGGUCUGGGAGGAUGAUCAGCCACACUGGAACUGAGACACGGGCCAGACUCCUACGUGAGGCAGCAGUGGGGAAUAUUGGACAAUGGGCGCAAGCCUGAUCCAGCCAUACCGCGUGGGUGAAGAAGGCCUUCGGGUUGUAAAGCCCUUUUGUUGGGAAAGAAAUCCAGCUGGCUAAUACCCGGUUGGGAUGACGGUACCCAAAGAAUAAGCACCGGCUAACUUCGUGCCAGCCGCCGCGGUAA